rnacentral:rRNA from 1 species
GACGAACCGAGCGAACGUUAUUCGGAAUCACUGGGCUUAAAGGGCGCGUAGGCGGGUCGCAUGGUCCGCGGUGAAAUCCUCCGGCUCAACCGGAGAACGGCCGCGGAUACCGGCGACCUCGAGGGGGGCAGGGGCACCUGGAACUGGUGGUGGAGCGGUGAAAUGCGUUGAUAUCAUCAGGAACUCCGGUGGCGAAGGCGAGGUGCUGGACCCCAACCGACGCUGAGGCGCGAAAGCCAGGGGAGCGAACGGG